GGUCCGAUGCUUCUAUUAUCGAUCUGGAGUUGGGAGCACUUGCCAGUGGGGCGGCCGACAGCAAAGGGUUACGACUGGUGGGAUGAUCAUCAUGACCCGGACCGUAUGCCUACAUGGGCGUAUAAGUGGGACAAGGUUGAAGGUUUUGUUGGCAGUUCAAAGACCAUGUAUUUGCACUACUGCAACGAGCUUGACAUCAUGACCCCGGAGCAGGUUACCUGGGAACCAUACGGAACGAAGGGCAAUAUUGGUAGGGAGCUGGUUUUAUUACUUUCAGACUUAACCCAAAGUGUCUACAGGAAGCACACUUAUGGCGGAUGCGUUGCUCGUUGAUUUGUUAUUAUGCUGUUGAGUUUUAUCAGCCACAACGAGUUAUGACACAAUUUGGCUUAUUUCAAGAGACCCCGCCGAAGUACAAGGACACUUUGCUACAUUUGCAUAGUCUUGACAAGAUGAAGCAGAAGAGUAUAAAAAAAUGGGAUUGAGAGUAUGACAUGUAUAUUCAGGAGUUCAAGCACAAGCUCAAUAAGAUUGAGCUUUCAUUGCGUCAACCGACUUCUAAGCCUCCCCCACGGCCUUUUGAUACAGAAGCAUUCAAUAAUUAUCUUGUAUGGUUUCGUUCCGUUGCCCGUACUCAACUUAACGCACCCGCAUUUCAGCCAGGGGACAUAUUACAUGAACCCAAUCCAGGUUUUGAUCGUAUGGCCAAUAUGGAGUACAACACGCUUAUUAGAGAUGGAAGACGAUAUGAAUCGGCGCCAACUAUCCGCUUUGUGGCAUGCCACAUCGCCAUACAAUUAUGGAUUGGAUAAGGUUCACCUCAACAUGCAACCAUGCAUUUGAAAAGAUGCACCACCACAUGUAAUCAUGCAUGGAAAAACUAUUAUUCAUUCUAUUAUUAUAAUUAUAUUAAAUAAAUAUUUUACAACUAUACAUAAUCAAAUAUAAUAAAUCAUAUGUAUUUUUAAGCUGGUUCAUAUGUUGUUGUUCUAAAUUUUUAUAUUCCACACAAUCAAAACACAUUAAAAUG